rfam:Geobacter sp. M18, complete genome.
UUUCCGAAACGGUAAACUUGGAAGAAAUUCCAAGGGCACAAAGCUGACGGACCCGUUACCUAAAAAAUAACAGGUAGCCGAGCUACCGAA